GCAAGGAUAUAGUCAAAUCUGGAUGUUAUUAGAAUUGGAGAUUACUCGCCUGUGACUCGACUCCGGCAGCUACGUGGGAUCAUUGCCGCUGUGAUGGAGCACAUGAAUAUGUCAGCGUGACAGAUCUGCAAUCUGCACCUGUGCCCAUCCAGCUUCGGUUAUGACAGCACAGGAUGUGAUCUGAGAAAAGGCCGUCCACAGCAGGAGAGGUGUGGAGUUUGUUGAACCUGAGCCUCCUGCUGCUCAGGUGCCUCGAGAACCGUCACCUGAACCUCCCGCUGCUCUCGCUGCACCUCCGGACAUCUGUAUCGCUGGAGAGGUCAGACCUCGACGUGGGCAGGCUGUGAAACCUCGAUUCUUUUCUCCGUCCUCAUUUGUUUGUUUCUUCACGUCGCUCAGAGUAGACAUGAUGACAGAUAAGUAGGAUCAGACUAAGAGAAGGAAACAGGGAGAGGCUGAUACUGGCAGCUCUGGAGUGAUGUUGCAUGAUCCAGCCUGGUGCAGAGGCCACAGUGAGCAGCGUGAUGAUCUGGCUCUUAAACGAACACCGCCACAUGUUGCAGCUGGAAAAAGGGUUGGAAAUGAUCAACUCUGCUGUAUGGAAGACCAACAACAAUAACCUACAACAGGCUAAAAGCGUUUAGCGGGAAUUACUCGUCGUGCCUUUCAUCUUAUUCCACGACGGCGUGGAUCGAAGAGGGUGUAGGAAGGACGGGGAUAAAUAUUCUCCAGCCUCUGUCACGUAUCAAACACGAGGAGGAUGUAAACACAAAGAGAAGAGUCGACAGAAAAGGAAUUCCUUAUGCUACGGAGAGUCUUUCUCUUUGAGGCUCCAUCAAAAGAGAGACACGCUCGUUCGCUGUUGCAUUUCUGAUGUGCUUCACUUUUAUUUGGCUCUUGAUGUGUGUCUGAGGCAGAGAGGUGAGAAUCUCCCCACGUUGGAGGAACACACUCUGAAACUCAUGGCUGCUUUCACGGACGUUAAUUAAACUUCGCUUCUUGACUAAAAUGUCCGGUUUCUCUGGAGACCUCCGCUCUGUGGCUCCGGGAGAAGACGUGAGCCAAAGUUCACCGCUGCAGCCAAAAGGACGCCACGUGCUGACUGUGCAAGAUCAAGAAGUUCAGUUUCUGAGGCUUAAAGGGCCAAAAUCUGUCUGCUGAAGUCACUCAUCUGUUUAACAGGUAAUCAGCAGAGGAAGUAUUUAAAUACUUCACACGUGAAUGCACCAAUACUCCAAUAUAACAACAGUAUGAAUGAUAUAGACGAAUGUAUGAAUGCCUCUUGUUAGUGUUACUGUAUUUUUGAAUGACUGGAUUAAUGCAGGAGCGAAAUUUUAAUGUUCCGUCUUCUAUCAUUUGUAAGCUUGCUGCAGAUUUAGCGUGGAAGAUAUUGAUCUGCAGAUCUAUAGUAACUGAACCUGUAUGAUUAAUACAGUGAAGUAAAACGUGUCAAGUUGGAUAAAGUGCUGAAAUAUCGAAAGAAAAGCGCUGGUAUCUUUUUUUCUGGUGAUCCAUUCUUGAGGUCCAAUCAAUUUGUUUUAUCUCUCUUCUGUUUAUAACUUAUUAUCUGGUGGGGAAAAAAAAAAAAAAGUUUUUGCCAGGAUAAUCUUUAUAAUUCCAAGAAAAACCUUACAAAGAAAUCAUAAAAAUGUUUCCAUCGCGAUGUGUUUUUCUUUCACUUGGUUCCAGACAAAAGAAUAAAUUCUCAGACAUUCUCAAGAAAA